GGAUUUUUUUUAAUAAUUUAUAUAAAAUAUUUUGAUGAAUAUUUAUAUAAUAUUAACAUAAUUCAUAUUACUAUAUAUUUUAAUAUAUGAAAUUUUACUUUGAGAAAAUUAGAGUGCUUAAAGCAGGCAUAUGCCUUGAAUACUCCAGCAUGGAAUAAUAUUAAAGAUUUUUAUCUUUCUUAUUGGUUCUAAGAUAAGAAUAAUGAUUAAUAGGGACAGUUGGGGGCAUUUGUAUUUAACAGUCAGAGGUGAAAUUCUUAGAUUUGUUAAAGACAAACUAAUGCGAAAGCAUUUGCCAAGGAUGUUUUCAUUAAUCAAGAACGAAAGUUAGGGGAUCGAAGACGAUCAGAUACCGUCGUAGUCUUAACCAUAAACUAUGCCAACUAAAGAUUGGAGGUUGUUC
rnacentral:rRNA from 1 species